rnacentral:rRNA from 1 species
CCUACGGGAGGCAGCAGUGAGGAAUAUUGGUCAAUGGACGAGAGUCUGAACCAGCCAAGUAGCGUGAAGGAUGACUGCCCUCUGGGUUGUAAACUUCUUUUAUAUGGGAAUAAUAUGUUCCACGUUUGUAAUUUUGUAUGUACCAUAUGAAUAAGGAUCGGCUAACUCCGUGCCAGCAGCCGCGGUAAUACGGAGGAUCCGAGCGUUAUCCGGAUGUAUUGGGUUUAAAGGGAGCGUAGGUGGAUUGUUAAGUCAGUUGUGAAAGUUUGCGGCUCAACCGUAAAAUUGCAGUUGAAACUGGCAGUCUUGAGUACAGUAGAGGUGGGCGGAAUGCGUGGUGCAGCGGUGAAAUGCUUAGAUAUCACGAAGAACUCCGAUUGCGAAGGCAGUUCACUGGACUGCAACUGACACUGAGGCUCGAAAGUGUGGGUAUCAAACAGGAUUAGAUACCCUAGUAGUC